rnacentral:lncRNA from 1 species
GUCAGUGCUGGCCGAAGGGGGCGCCGAGAAGCUGAAGGAAAAAAGACGCAGAAUGUUGGAUUAAAGGAGGCAGGAUGGGCCAAAUACUCCUAUACAGUCCACGCAAAGAGGGGUUGGACGAGCUCGGUUUUUCUUCCCAGGAAAUUACCUUUCCACACAGUCUGAGAGUCUGGAAGUCAAGUUGGAUGCGGGAGCAUCGUGCCCCCCUAUAGCAUACAGCAGUCCAUUCCAGGUCGUCACUCCUACGCCACCUCUCCUUUUUGACAUCUGUGCACACAGUGUCCACUUAUUAGUAUGAGGAUCAAAACAUUCUACUGAUUUGAGACAAGAACUUCCAUCACGACCACCAACUGCAUAAAG